rnacentral:rRNA from 1 species
CUACGGGUUGCACCAGUGGGGAAUAUUGGACAAUGGGCGCAAGCCUGAUCCAGCAAUGCCGCGUGAGUGGAGACGGCCUUAGGGUUGUAAAACUCUUUCGCUAGGGAAGAUAAUGACUGUACCUAGUAAAGAAGUCCCGGCUAACUCCGUGCCAGCAGCCGCGGUAAUACGGAGGGGACUAGCGUUGUUCGGAAUUACUGGGCGUAAAGAGUGCGUAGGCGGACUGACAAGUUAGAGGUGAAAUCCCAGGGCUCAACCCUGGAACUGCCUUUAAAACUGUCAGUCUAGAGAGCGGAAGAGGUUAGGGGAAUACCUAGUGUAGAGGUGACAUUCGUAGAUAUUAGGUGGAACACCAGUGGCGAAGGCGCCUAACUGGUCCGGUACUGACGCUGAGGAACGAAAGCGUGGGGAGCAAACAGGAUUAGAUACCCGCGUAGUC